AGCUUCUGCCGGCGCUCAUGGAAGAUUAUCUCGUUGCGGUAAAGUUGUGUUACGUUUGUUUUUUGUAUGGUCUGUUUUGUGAUGAUAUUUGUAAACGAAACCAGUUAGUUUUUCUUAAUUUUAAUGUGUAAGCACGAUAGCAGAAUAGAUAGAUUAUUUCUUUCUGUGCGCGCCGACAUAAAUACGCCACCUGGGACUUAUUACAUCAAAGUUUUCUUGCAAGCAGAAGGCGGAAACGAAAUCCCCAAUCGCCUGCACCAACACACUUAAUUCAUCGUGAGGCAGAGAACGCGGAACGACAACCAAGCGCGCAAGUGGCUUCAUUUUGUGCGAGAUUACGUUCCGGCAAAGUUGGGUUUUGCACGCUAGUUUCAACUUAGAAGUGAAAUUGAAACGGUCCGCGUCUUCUGCAGCGCUGGAAGGAUUGUGUUUGGUUAAUUCCUCCUAUUUUGGCCAGAACAAGCAUCGUUCCGCAGAGAAGCAACAGGAACUGUCCGCAGAGAAGCCGCAGGAUCAGCAAGCUUUCCGAGACGAUUAUCACGGCAAGACGGCGCAGACGGCGAGGAUUAAUCAGCUCAAGUGUAGCCAAGCCGAGGUAAAACUACCUUGACCUUGAUUUGCUUCUAUUAACUAAGGUCGAUUUCUACAUAUCUAGAUCGCCUGGCCGGACGGAGCAGAGCACCCCACAAGACUCCCAAUCGCUGGCACUGAUACACAGGACGUUCACCCUCUUUAGAGGCCGUAUCAGGUACGUUCCAUCAACUGCUGGAAGAAAACAAGUUGAAACUAAUGGAAUCAUAUCUACAAUAGCUAGCCACAAGCGUUAACGACCGAGUGGGCCACGAGCGGUCACGACCGAGUGUAGAACGCCGAACCAACCCACGGAAGUCGUGCACACAUUGGACAACAGAAAACCCUCUCAGAGGGUUUUCUUUGGGAGUGCUAAGCUGUUCUUCCGUCGCUUGCUGGCGUGACGCACAGCUGUCCAUGAGUGAACUUCAAUACGUCCUGCCGAAGACCGGCGGUGUACGGCUACAAGUG